rnacentral:tRNA from 1 species
GUCCACUUAGCUCAGCUGGAUAGAGCGUCUGCCUCCGGAGCAGAAGGCCGCAGGUUCGAACCCUGUAGAGGGCACCA